rnacentral:snoRNA from 1 species
AAGAUCAUACUUUUAGGGAUCAUUUCUAUAGUAUGCGUCUACAAAAUGUCAACUAACCUUGACACCCACUAACACCCGAUGAUGCGACAGGGUGGCGUCUCUUGAGCAGGAAGCCGAGGUCUUGUACCUCAUUUGAAGACUGCACCGCUUAGGCGGACGGAGAUGUCACGUUCUGAUGGGU